AACGAACGCUGGCGGCAUGCCUAACACAUGCAAGUCGAACGAGACCUUCGGGUCUAGUGGCGCACGGGUGCGUAACGCGUGGGAACCUGCCUUAGGUUCGGAAUAACAGUGAGAAAUUACUGCUAAUACCCGGAUGAUGUCUUCGGACCAAAGAUUUAUCGCCUUUAGAUGGGCCCGCGUUGGAUUAGCUAGUUGGUGGGGUAAAGGCCUACCAAGGCGACGAUCCAUAGCUGGUCUGAGAGGAUGAUCAGCCACACUGGGACUGAGACACGGCCCAGACUCCUACGGGAGGCAGCAGUGGGGAAUAUUGGACAAUGGGCGAAAGCCUGAUCCAGCAAUGCCGCGUGAGUGAUGAAGGCCUUAGGGUUGUAAAGCUCUUUACCCGAGAUGAUAAUGACAGUAUCGGGAGAAUAAGCACCGGCUAACUACGUG
rnacentral:rRNA from 1 species